rnacentral:tRNA from 5 species
GUGGCUGUAGCUCAGCUGGUAGAGCACCGGGUUGUGGUCCCGGGUGUCGUGGGUUCAAGUCCCAUCAGUCACCCCA